AGGAAACCUUUGCAGCUUUUAAAGAAAAGUCUCCAUGUGUGGCAUAAUACUUUAACCAUGGGAGGAGUUUACUGUAACUGGAAAUGUACGUCACCAGGUAAGACAUCUGAGUACAAGCCUCAUAAGAAUGCUUCCUGACAAGGAACAGGUAUUGACAGAAAGACUGCACACACACACACACCUACCUUAGUCAGGAAUAACUGCAUCAGCAAGAAACAUGUUGCUCUCAAUCCUUUUUGUUGGAGCGGUUCUGUUUACAAAUGGAGUAACCGUUAAUGAGUGUACACACUUUUGCAAGAAGGUUUCUACCCCACCUCCCCCCAAUUUCUACAUUUCUACUUAUUUUUAACCUCAGACAGAACCAACAACCACAAACGUGUUUAUUCUUUUUGGUAAUGAUACAGCAGAUAUAGCAUCAUCUAAUACAGCAACAACAACUACUACAACUCAGCCAACAGCACUCACAACCACAGCUCUUCCCGUUGUUAAUGAUACAACACAUACAACAACAACAACAACAACAACUGAGAGCACAACACUCACAAUGAUAAACACGACCACUCCUGAUACUGCAACAACUUCAACUAUAUACCCCUUACCCUCAAUCACCACCUCAGGGAACACUCCUAGUACGGUGUCUUACGCAGUGAACCCUGUGCGUAUCGGGCUGCGAGCUGUGCUCAAAUCUACUCUGCAGCUGAAUAUAACUCUAGCCAACCAGCUUUUGCAGCAGUAUAUAGCGUAUCUUCCAUCAUACUACAACGUAACAGCCAGAGUAACAAGCAUUACAACGCUAUGAAGUGCUGCAUCAGAAGGAUGUUCAGGAUAUUUUCAAGGCCCUUGAUCCUCUUUUUAAUUCUUUGAGAGCAUUUCUGUUAUUGUAAUUGAUUUAACUUUUCCCAAAUGAUUGCUUUUGCAUUUAUUUGAGACUGUAAUCAAAAGUUCAAAUUAUGACAAUAAAGUUUAAGUUAAAUUAAGUUCAAAUAAUGACAAAUUAUGGGAGAGAAUUAAAGGUAACUGAUUGGUAGUUAAUAAUUAUAAUAUGAUUUUUCAACAAUGAAUGAAGCAACAAUGUUAACAAAUGAAUGAAUUAAUAAACCCUACUGAAUGACAAA